UCCCACCCGUGUUUAUUUUACCUUGUUGCUUCGGCGGGCCCGCCUUAACUGGCCGCCGGGGGGCUUACGCCCCCGGGCCCGCGCCCGCCGAAGACACCCUCGAACUCUGUCUGAAGAUUGUAGUCUGAGUGAAAAUAUAAAUUAUUUAAAACUUUCAACAACGGAUCUCUUGGUUCCGGCAUCGAUGAAGAACGCAGCGAAAUGCGAUACGUAAUGUGAAUUGCAAAUUCAGUGAAUCAUCGAGUCUUUGAACGCACAUUGCGCCCCCUGGUAUUCCGGGGGGCAUGCCUGUCCGAGCGUCAUUUCUGCCCUCAAGCACGGCUUGUGUGUUGGGCCCCGUCCUCCGAUCCCGGGGGACGGGCCCGAAAGGCAGCGGCGGCACCGCGUCCGGUCCUCGAGCGUAUGGGGCUUUGUCACCCGCUCUGUAGGCCCGGCCGGCGCUUGCCGAUCAACCCAAAUUUUUAUCCAGGUUGACCUCGGAUCAGGUAGGGAUACCCGCUGAACUUAAGCAUA
rnacentral:rRNA from 1 species